AUACGAAGGGGGCAAGCGUUGUUCGGAAUAACUGGGCGUAAAGCGUACGUAGGCGGAAUGUUAAGUUAGAGGUGAAAUCCCAGGGCUCAACCCUGGUACUGCCUUUAAUACUGGCAAUCUAGAGACCGAGAGAGGUGAGUGGAAUUCCGAGUGUAGAGGUGAAAUUCGUAGAUAUUCGGGGGAACACCAGUGGCGAAGGCGGCUCACUGGCUCGGUACUGACGCUGAGGUGCGAAAGAGUGGGGAGCAAACAGGAUUAGAAACCCUAGUAGUCC
rnacentral:rRNA from 1 species